AACCUGGUUGAUCUUGCCAGUAGUCAUAUGCUUGUCUCAAAGAUUAAGCCAUGCAAGUGAAAGUAUAUGCAUAUUUUAUAUGUAGAAACUGCGAACGGCUCAUUAAAACAGUUAUAAUCUACUUGACAUUUUUUACUAUAAGGAUAACUACGGAAAAGCUGUAGCUAAUACUUGCUUUUAAUACUCUUGAUUAAGUUCUUGAGUAUGUACUUGUUAAGCCUUAUAAGAGAAAAGUUAAUAACUUAAGGAAUUAUAACAAAGAAGUAACACGUAAUAAACUAAGUUUAUUUUAGUGUUUAUCAAUCGAGUUUCUGACCUAUCAGCUUUUGAUGUUAGGGUAUUGGCCUAACAUGGCUAUGACGGGUAACGGGGAAUUAGAGUUCGAUUCCGGAGAGGGAGCCUGAGAAAUAGCUACCACAUCUAAGGAAGGCAGCAGGCGCGUAAAUUACCCAAUUCUAAAGAAGAGAGGUAGUGACAAGAAAUAACAAUACAAGGCCAAUCUGGCUUUGUAAUUGGAAUGAUGGGAAUUUAAAACCUUCCCAAAAUACAAUUGGAGGGCAAGUCUGGUGCCAGCAGCCGCGGUAAUUCCAGCUCCAAUAGCGUAUAUUAAAAUUGUUGCAGUUAAAACGCUCGUAGUUGAAUUUCAAAGAAUCGAUAUUUUAAGUAACGCUUUUAGCUUAAUCCACAUAACUGAUACAUUACGUAUCGACUUUGUGCGCAUUUUGCUAUUAUGUGUUCUUUUAAUUAAAAUGAUUCUUUUUAAAAUUAUCAUAGUUAUUUUUAAUAGCUUUGAUGAUUUUGUUACUUUGAGUAAAUUAGAGUGUUCAAAGCAAACAGAUAUAGCAUUUACUGCGUUUGAAUACUACAGCAUGGAAUAACAAAAUUGAACAAGUCAAAAUUUUGUUUUUUUUUCUUAUUUUUGCUUAGUUACGAUUAAUAGGAGUAGCUUGGGGGCAUUUGUAUUCAGAUGUCAGAGGUGAAAUUCUUAGAUUUUCUGGAGACAAACAACUGCGAAAGCAUUUGCCUAAAAUACUUCCA
rfam:Plasmodium gonderi DNA, contig: Chr10.